rnacentral:rRNA from 1 species
UAUUGGCUUUGGCAGUACGCUGGCUUCUUAGAGGGACUAUGCGGCUCAAGCCGAUGGAAGUGUUGAGGCAAUAACAGGUGCUGUGAUGCCCUUAGAUGUGUCUGGGCCGCACGCGCGCUACACUGACGGAGCCAGCGAGUACUUCCUUGGUCCGAAAGGUCCGGGUAAUCUUGUUAAACUCCGUCGUGCUGGGGAUAGAGCAUUGCAAUUAUUGCUCUUCAACGAGGAAUCCCUAGUAAGCGCAAGUCAUCAGCUUGCGUUGAUUACGUCCCUGCCCUUUGUACACACCGCCCGUCGCUACUACCGAUUGAAUGGCUCGGCCCGUGACCCCCAGCCCCGCCCGCCGCGCGCGGCGAGGGGCGCGGGCG